rnacentral:tRNA from 1 species
GCUGGAGUGGUGGAAUGGUAUACACGUUCGACUCAAAAUCGAAUGCCGCAAGGCUUAUGGGUUCAAGUCCCAUCUCCAGCA